AAUUGUUCUUGCUGCCGUCUCAUCUUACAUUUGGUUCUUGCUCGAUGAGAUCAGUCAGAACAAUUCGU
rnacentral:pre_miRNA from 1 species